UACGUAGGGGGCUAGCGUUGUCUGGAUUUAUUGGGCGUAAAGAGCGUGUAGGCGGCCAGGUAGGUCUGGUGUGAAAACUCGAGGCUUAACCUCGAGAUGUCAUCGGAAACCAUCUGGCUAGAGUCCGGAAGAGGAGAGUGGAAUUCCUGGUGUAGCGGUGAAAUGCGCAGAUAUCAGGAAGAACACCAAUGGCGAAAGCAGCUCUCUGGGACGGUACUGACGCUGAGACGCGAAAGCGUGGGGAGCGAACAGG
rnacentral:rRNA from 1 species